rnacentral:lncRNA from 1 species
AGUACAAGAGGGAAAAUUCCCUUUGAGCAAUUAGAGAGGCGAAAGAGAAGCAGGGAAUGUCCCUGAUUGCAUUACAGAGGAGGAAACCAAGACGACUUCUUCUCAAGUCCUUUGCUGAAGCCACCAUGAGAGCUCAGUGCAGUCAGGAUGAAAGAGGCCCAUUUGCCUUCUCGGGGGAGACAUGGCUUUGGAUUCUUUGAAGAGCAGUGUUGCCUGUCAAAUUAGAGGGUUAUGACAGGAGCCGCCAAGUGGAAGUUGGAGAAUUCAUCUCCAUUCUCGCAACCCGGAUAACUCCUACCUUAGCAGCAGAUUUUAUGUUGCCCUCUAAUGUAAAAUCUAGAACUUUUACUGCCGGAAGUUCUCCAAUACGUGUUCACUAGGCUUCAGCGUUUUUAGGAAUCCCACCUAAAUCUAUGUCUUUAUCUCCAUGUGGAGAUGGUUGGUGUAUCAGACUAAAGCAGCUCACUAGAAGGCUGAACAGAGUCUGGUUCUAGAAUUUGUGCCUAGCGCCGGGGGUUCAGGAAAGGCUCGGUAACGAUGGUUUCACAGCAUAGGGAAACUGUGUCUUGAGAGAAGAUUGAUGGGAGCAAGGACAAAUGCUAGGAGAAAGCGGAAGGAUGGCAAAUUAAGAGGGAUGAAAAGAAAUGGCACAUUAAGGUGGGAAAUUAAGAGGAAGGGAAAAAAGAGUAGAUAUACAUAGCAAUAAAAGAAGAAAAAUCAUUGUGAUGCAUGAUGGAUAGAGAAGUGACUUUCCUGUUUUUCUCUGGGCCCUAAUGGACCCACCACUACUGAUCGAAGGUAAGAGCAGACUGAUUUCUGUGUUUUCCACUCUUAACGAAGAAGAGACCCCUUAGCAGUCUUUCUGAGACCUCCAUUUCUUUCAUUUUCAGGCUGACUCAAGCAAAGUGGGGAAAAAAUCGCAUCUGGACAAAGGAAGCUUAUCUCCCCGAAUCUCAAAACCUAUGUCAAGAGAACCUUUACUGAAGAGAGCCAUAGAGUUAAACACUGUACUUAAUUCCAACCAAAAACUAGAUAAAGGGUUAGAAAUCAGUGUUAUUAGUGGCCUCUCCUUCCUUCCUUAACUGCUAACCCUCAGCCAGGCCACUAUAAUAACAGUGUUAUUUUUCAUGCCUGAAAGGAAAAUCAGAGAUUCCAUCAAGAAAGGGCUUUUAAAGGGAGGCUGUGUUAUUGCAGUAUUAUUUGGACUCUCACUCUAAAUAUACAAAUGAUUCCAAUUUCUCUUAAUAUGGGUUGAGGGUGGCGGAAUUUAAGUCUCACUGGGUUAAAAUAGCAACUCAAAAACACACGUCAAAACCCCUAAUGUCAGCCAACAUUUAUGAUAUAAAUGAGCUUAGGUUUUUUUCUCUCAUGAUUUUAACUUUUUCAAAGAGAUGGAGCUUUUAUAAAUAAGCAAGCAUGGCCAUAUUCAGCCUACGACAUCUUGGCUCUGUGCAAGCCCAUUUAGCUGGGAGUCGUAACUUCAUUUCAGGGAAGAUGUGUGAGAGGGUGGACAGGCGAGAAGUUUUAUGUCAGAAUUCUGGGUUUGAGUCCUGGUUCCAUCAUUGAUUAACAACCUGUCCUUGGAAGAGUUAGGUAACUCUUGGUUAAUUCUUGGUCAUCAGGAAUGUGGGGGUGACAAGAGUCAUGACUUAUCUAUGGGUUGUUGGGAGGAUCGAACCAAUUGAUAGAUAAGGAAGAACUUGAUCAACUGCCCUGCAAAUAUUCAUUUUCAUUUUUAAUAGGUACCUUUAUAUUAAAAGGAAAGAGGCAGGAUUUCAUCCUCAAUGUGCAUUCACUCUUUAUUUAAUAAUGCUUUUGGUGUCCUACUGUGUUCUAGCCAGCAAACCAGCGACCAGAGGACUGCCACUUCCUAGUGUCACAUUGUGAUGGUGUGAGGUUUAUUCCUUAUCCAUUGCCAAAUGAUAAUUUUUGGCCCUCAGAAAUAAGGAGAAAAGCCCAAAAGCCAGAAAGAUAAAGGAUUAAGUUACUCUUUAAAAUAAUAAAUCUAUCUGUGUAUUCUCUUCUCCUUUAUAUGGUGCCGGUAAUUUUUAAAAUUAGAUUUUCCUCUGGGCCUUUCAUCCUAAAAAUGAUGAAGUUCCCUGUCCCUGGUAAUUGCAUUUCUUUUGAUUUUCUUUUAUUAUGACUUGCAUAUCACUGACACUUUUCCCCUGGAAUGUUAAAAGUAUACAUCAUCCAGCUAAAAGGGGAAAGAAAAUACUGUCUUAAUAAAAACGGCAAAGAGAGAGAAAGUGGAGAUUCUGCUCCUUUGGUUCCAAACAAGGCAAAGUCUUCAUUCCUUGUUCUUCAUACAUGCCAAGGUUGAUGUCAUGGAACCAAACCAGUUUGGAGUUAUCUGAAAUAGAAAAAAAAAAAAAAAAAAAAAAAAAAAAAAAGGCAGUUCAACAAUCUGGAGGGUGGGGAGGCAUUCUGGGAAAGACUGAAGGAAGAGAUGUUCAGUUCAAGGGGUGCUCUGAGAGAUCCCAGAAGAGCUGGAGGGGCCAGAAAGGAAUAACACGGUAACCUUGAUUACCCUAUGGUUCUACUAUUCACAGAAAAGAGAUUAAAAAAAAAAAAAAACAAAACACAUGGUUGAUGUAUGAAUACAUCAUCAAAAGUUACCAUUAAUGAGUGUUAUUUAUGAAUGAUAAGCAGGACACAUCCAGGGAAAGCGGCUCUUAUUUUUUCACAAAACCAUUCUCACAUUAUUGAGAUACAUCUUUCAUUCCAUUAGAACUAUAGUCCUAAUAGCUAUUGCAUGGCGUCCUACGCAGGAGUGGAUAGUUGGAACUUUGGGAACCCUGCCUGUCAGUCUCAUGUCUAGGGCCUUGAAGGUUUGGCCAUUAGUUUCUGUUGUGCCUAGAAUGUCAGGUGUAUUCUUAGCGGCUCUAUUAAUAAGGCCAAUUGCUACUAGUUUCCUCCAGUAAAACCAGCUCUAGGAUUCGGGCCUCCAUUGCACCCAGAAUAGAUGGAAUGGCAACUCUAGGACUUUUGAUGAGAAACAAGAAGGCCCUAGUGGACUGUUUCUCCCAGUCUCCCAAUCAUGUAAACCUUUUCCUUCUUUCUUAUAAUGCACAAACACAAAGUAGAAUCCCAAGAUCUUCAAGUUAAUGAAACUUAGAACCCGAAAGGACCCUCCAAGAACAGGUGGGGCCUUUCUCUUCCUGUCAAAAGUGAAGCCUUUGAAACUUGGAGAGGUGAUUCCUUUGAUGGCAGGGAGAGGCCCUAAGCCUGGGGUAGUGGCAGCAUGAUGGGCUUCUGAGCCGAGGCAUAGCUCUGCUCAGACACCUGCCUUGGAAUUUCUUACUUUUUCAUUAAAGGUCUGAAAGACUGGAUGGCAGUGAGAUUUUAUAUUUUUAAUUGAUAUGGCUGACAUAAAAUGUUAUAAUCAUUUCUGGUGUCCAGCAGUGCUUCAAUAUAUGUAUAUUUUGCAAGUAAAUCACCAAGGAACUCCCUGGUGGGUCAGUGGGUUAAGGAUCCAGUGUUGUCACUGCUGUGGCUCAGGUCACUACUCUGACGUGUGUUGAAUCCCUGGUCCAGGAUCUUCCGCAUGCUGUGGGUGCAGCAAAAAAACAAAAAAAAACAAAAAAAAAAAAACGCCACAAUGUCUCUUAAUGUAUCCGGAAUUCCUGCCGUGGCACUAUGUGUUAAUGAUCCAGCAGCUGGGCACAGCGGGUUAAGGAUCCAGUGUUGCUGAAGCUGUGGCAUAGUUCGCAUCUCCGGCUCAGAUUCAAUCCCUGGCACAGGAACUUCCAUAUGCCA